AUUGAACGCUGGCGGCAGGCCUAACACAUGCAAGUCGAGCGGAUGAAGGUAGCUUGCUACCUGAUUCAGCGGCGGACGGGUGAGUAAUGCCUAGGAAUCUGCCUGGUAGUGGGGGACAACGUUUCGAAAGGAACGCUAAUACCGCAUACGUCCUACGGGAGAAAGUGGGGGAUCUUCGGACCUCACGCUAUCAGAUGAGCCUAGGUACGAUUAGCUAGUUGGUGAGGUAAAGGCUCACCAAGGGGACUAUCGUUAACUGGUCUGAGAGGAUGAUCAGUCACAAUGGAACUGAGACACGGUCCAGACUCCUACGGGAGGCAGCAGUGGGGAAUAUUGGACAAUGGGCGAAAGCCUGAUCCAGCCAUGCCGCGUGUGUGAAGAAGGUCUUCGGAUUGUAAAGCACUUUAAGUUGGGAGGAAGGGCAGUAAGUUAAUACCUUGCUGUUUUGACGUUACCGACAGAAUAAGCACCGGCUAACUUCGUGCCAGCCGCCGCGGUAA
rnacentral:rRNA from 1 species